AACCGCCACCGUCUCAGCCUGAAGGCGCCCGAUCUCGUCUGAUCUCGGAAGCUAAGCAGGGUCGGGCCUGGUUAGUAUCUUGGAUGGGAGACCACCUGGGAAUCCCGGGUGCUCGAGGUCU
ensembl:rRNA 5S_rRNA 5S ribosomal RNA